AAUAUUGGACAAUGGGGGCAACCCUGAUCCAGCCAUGCUGCGUGUGUGAAGAAGGUCUUCGGAUUGUAAAGCACUUUAAGUUGGGAGGAAGGGCUUUAGGCUAAUUCUCUGCAGUUUGGAAGGUACCAACAGAAUAAGCAACGGCUAACUCUUUGCCAGCAGCCGCGGUAAUACAGAGGGUGCAAGCGCUAAUUGGAAUUACUGGGCGUAAAGCGCGCGUAGGUGGUUCAGUAAGAUGGGUGUGAAAUCCCCGGGCUUAACCUGGGAACUGCUUUCAUAACUGCUGAGCUAGAGUACGGUAGAGGGUAGUGGAAUUUCCUGUGUAGCGGUGAAAUGCGUAGAUAUAGGAAGGAACACCAGUGGCGAAGGCGACUACCUGGACUGAUACUGACACUGAGGUGCGAAAGCGUGGGGAGCAAACA
rnacentral:rRNA from 1 species